CGGGGCGUAGCGCAGCCCGGCUAGCGCGCCUGCCUUGGGCGCAGGAGGUCGUGGGUUCGAAUCCCGCCGCCCCGACAA
rnacentral:tRNA from 1 species